rnacentral:rRNA from 1 species
CCUACGGGAGGCUGCAGUGAGGAAUAUUGGUCAAUGGGAGAGAGCCUGAACCAGCCAAGCCGCGUGAGGGAUGACGGCUCUAUGGGUUGUAAACCUCUUUUGUCAGAGAACAAAACCCGGGACGUGUCCCGGACUGCGUGUAUCCUAUGAAUAAGCAUCGGCUAACUCCGUGCCAGCAGCCGCGGUAAUACGGAGGAUGCGAGCGUUAUCCGGAUUUAUUGGGUUUAAAGGGUGCGUAGGCGGUCCGUUAAGUCAGCGGUAAAAUUGCGGGGCUCAACCCCGUCGGGCCGUUGAAACUAGCAGACUUGAGUUGGCGAGAAGUACGCGGAAUGCGCGGUGUAGCGGUGGAAUGCAUAGAUAUCGCGAAGAACAUCGGUUGCGAAGGCAGCGUACCGGAGCCAGACUGACGCUGAGGCACGAAAGCGUGGGGAUCGAACAGGAUUAGAUACCCGUGUAGUC